UGGCAGGGGGUUGGAUUAAAAGGACCAGGUCUAGCUGAAUUUUAAACCUGCAGACUUCCUCUAGAGCGACAGCAGUUUGACCUUGUACUUCCUCAAAGCUCAGCCCAAGGUAAGAGCUGAGGUUGCCAAGAACCUGCUGAGUGAGGUGCAGCCAAGCUGGGCACCUUCCACAGAGGAAAAGAAGCCAUAAAGAGCUCUGCAAAGAGAGAACUGCUCACCAAGGCACACAAACCACAUCAAAUUGAAGCAGAACCUGGCCAAGCAGCUCAGACACAGCCCCCAUCUCACAAAUGCUCUCUGCAGCAGCAAAACUAUGGAUUACAGUGUUUCCUUCCCCAGAUAUUGUACAUUUUACCUGGUACACCACCCAACUUACAGGCUGGGCAGAAACAGCCGGGUAAGAGAGGACAGGAGAGGAAGGGAAAAUAUCUUGCAUAUGGAUGGGCACCUAUAAAAUGCAUUAAAAAUCAAGUUUGGGAGUUAAAAUCCCUCAGCAAUGGUCAGCCAUAAUCCAGUUUCUCUCUAAAGUUUUCCUCCUUUUUGGAUCUCCCUCCGGAUUCCCCAAGCAAGAAUUUACCUCUUUCCCCAGCGAGCUCAUCCCUUGGCUCCACAGGUACCAACUGUGCCCUCUCUCACCCCAAGUGCUGUUAUAUUUUGAUGAAGCUCAGAGCAACUGGUGGAGUUUGUAUGACAAAUAUCACAUUUUGUGUCAGAACUGGAGGAUUUACGCAUCAGGAGCUUGUCUGGCUUCUCCCCGCCUGCAGCCGUUUACCUGCUGCCAGGUAUCACUUCCCAUGAAAUGCACCCACCACAGCCCUUGGAAAUACACAAAAUAAUUACUUUUUCCAGCCUGCCUUAUCUCCCUGUGGACAUCCACAUACAAAAAUCCCCUACCCAAAUAUCUGCCUGCCCUCAGAAUGACUCUGUGUGAAAAGGGAACAGGUCCCUGACCGAGCACCGGCGGUUCUGCACCACAAGAUCAUCCACAUCACAAAUCCAUCCAACCACCAGCUGGAGCUGCGAGGGGUCCACGUGUGCCUUGCCAAAUUCCUGUGUAAUUUUCCAUUCUUUCUUCUUAAUCAGUGCAUAAUCCAAGGAAGAUUUGUAUAGCAGUAUUAAAGGAAAAGUCGCUGGUGCAGGGAGAGGAAAACACCGGUGACGGUGCCAGCCUGACAGGGGAUUUCCAUGCUUUGCUCUUGGAAAGGCCUGAUAAGAUGGAUAUAUUUGUUUUAGCUUUCAGCAAGGAACCUCAAGGAUUUGGAUUACAAAAUGCCUAAAUAACGUCACGAGAACUGAGUUCUGGAAAAGGAGAUAGGAGAAGUUAAUGGUGUUAGCAAGCACUGACCUGGCUAAUCCCAUUGCUGACCUGUGUCUGGCUGGGCAAAUGUGUUCCUGAAACCUGGAUGUGGUUUGUAGCACAUGGUCUUGGGGCAAGACAGUGCAAUUCCAAUUGUUCCAACUGGGUGCAGUUCCAGAAUUUUGUGGAUUUUGGUUUGUAUCAGCUGGGACCAGAUGUUCUCCUCUGCCCCCUCCACCUCCAGUGUCCACUGUGUGAAAAAAUGUCACCAAAGCAGCUGCACUUGUGUUUUACCAACAAACCCAAAGCACAUCUGAAUGAAUUCCCUCUUCUUUUCUGUUGGAUCUUAAAGACAAUUUAGUUCCACACUGCUGCCAUGGGCAGAGACACU